AGCGAACGCUGGCGGCAGGCUUAACACAUGCAAGUCGAGCGGGCAUCCUUGUGGUUUCAGCGGCAGACGGGUGAGUAACGCGUGGGAACGUGCCCUUCGGUUCGGAAUAACUCAGGGAAACUUGAGCUAAUACCGGAUACGUGCGAGAGCAGAAAGGUUUAUCUGCCGAAGGAUCGGCCCGCGUCUGAUUAGCUAGUUGGUGAGGUUACGGCUCACCAAGGCGACGAUCAGUAGCUGGUCUGAGAGGAUGAUCAGCCACACUGGGACUGAGACACGGCCCAGACUCCUACGGGAGGCAGCAGUGGGGAAUAUUGGACAAUGGGGGCAACCCUGAUCCAGCCAUGCCGCGUGAGUGAUGACGGCCUUAGGGUUGUAAAGCUCUUUUCUCCGGGACGAUAAUGACGGUACCGGAGGAAUAAGCCCCGGCUAACUUCGUG
rnacentral:rRNA from 1 species